AUAACCGUUUUUUUUUCACACCACCAGUGGUAAGGCAAUUUAAGCAAGGAGAUGUAAGCCAGCUAACCUUCGUGACAAAAACAUGUCCCUAUGAUGGUUGCAGUGGUGAAGACAAUGAGGAAUUCGAAGAGAAAUCAAGAAUGUCCAGGGUUAGCAUUUGGUAAGAGGGUGUGCUAGACAUGGAACAAGGCAAAGCAUGGAUUGGGCAUUAAGAAGCUUGGUGCAACAUCAAGACUCAUGAAGCACUUGAAAGAUUUUGGAAGAAUAUUCUAUGAAGCAAGGUUGACUAGGGUCUAGGUUAGGUCAGGUGACAUUGGUCAACUAUUUGACCAAAAAGUCAAUAGUUGACCAAAAGUCAGUUGUGGGCCAAAAAAAGUAUAGUUUUGUGUAAUUUUGUAUGGACUUGUGUGUAAUGAAAUGGAUGUUUGAAAAUGUAAACUUUGAUGAUCUUUUGUAAUGAUAAAUGAAUUUGAAAGCCUUUAUCUUUAA